rnacentral:rRNA from 1 species
UACGUAGGGUGCAAGCGUUAAUCGGAAUUACUGGGCGUAAAGCGUGCGCAGGCGGUUGUGCAAGACAGAUGUGAAAUCCCCGGGCUUAACCUGGGAACUGCAUUUGUGACUGCACGGCUAGAGUGUGUCAGAGGGGGGUAGAAUUCCACGUGUAGCAGUGAAAUGCGUAGAUAUGUGGAGGAAUACCGAUGGCGAAGGCAGCCCCCUGGGAUAACACUGACGCCUCAUGCACGAAAGCGUGGGGAGCAAACAGG